rnacentral:rRNA from 1 species
GACGGACGCUGGCGGCGUGCUUAACACAUGCAAGUCGAACGGAAAGGCCUCUUUCGGGGGGUACUCGAGUGGCGAACGGGUGAGUAACACGUGAGUAACCUGCCCUUGACUUUGGGAUAACUUCAGGAAACUGGGGCUAAUACCGGAUAGGAGCUCCUGCUGCAUGGUGGGGGUUGGAAAGUUUCGGCGGUUGGGGAUGGACUCGCGGCUUAUCAGCUUGUUGGUGGGGUAGUGGCUUACCAAGGCUUUGACGGGUAGCCGGCCUGAGAGGGUGACCGGCCACAUUGGGACUGAGAUACGGCCCAGACUCCUACGGGAGGCAGCAGUGGGGAAUAUUGCACAAUGGGUGGAAGCCUGAUGCAGCAACGCCGUGUGCGGGAUGACGGCCUUCGGGUUGUAAACCGCUUUCGCUCAUGACGAAGCUUUGUGUGACGGUAGUGGGUAAAGAAGCACCGGCUAACUACGUG